AACCCGCCGCUCGCGCCUCGGGGCCGUUGCAGACACUGAUCCGUCGCCAAACCGCCGUCUAGGAAGCCAGCCCGCGCUCGGACGUCCACCAGAAACCAGCAGACUUUGCGGGGGAAAAAGGCUUGUUCAGCGACGUCUAUGCAAAGGGCAGAUGGGUCGCGGUGAUCGCGGCGGAUCGCGCUGGGCAGUCGGAGGCUCGGGGUUGGCUGCUGUUCCAGACGCCGUUGCAGCGUCGGAGCGAAUGGACACAUUCUUUGGUGCCUGGUGUAUCCAAGCUGGAAAUUCUCUUGGCUACUAGUGACAGAAACUCGCCUCAAACUAACUGGAAUUGAAAAGGUUCCUUCAGGUUCCUGGUGCGAACUUCGACCAAACAUUUCUUCUUGUAUAUUUGAACUUGAACUUCCUGAAGAAGCUCCCAAUGGCCCCUGCAGUGUGGUUGGUGCCAUAGAGAGAAGCUGGGGUCUCACCUCAGGGCAAAGUCUCUGGGUCUAGCAGGGUUCCCUUUGGUCACCCCUGGGGGCUCCACCACCACUGCUGACGUUGCAGGUUGACUGGAAGCCACAGAGACACGCUGAG